GUAUCACCAUCUCCUCCACCCAGUCGUGACAAGCCAAAAUGUUUUUAGAUGUUGUCAAGAUGUCCUUUGUGGAGCAAAAUCACCCCUUGCUGAAAACCGCUGCUGUAGAAAGAUAUCAAAACCAAGAGGAAGAGUUGGAAAUGGAAUGAAUGGUCCAUGGUUCUACAGUGGACUUCAGAUCCUGUCCUCUCCCAUGAGCAACAAUGAAGAUGAAGUGUUGGCUGGCUUGCUGAAUAGGGCUACAUGGAACUAUGAGGGACUUCAGCCAACCUGGGACAUCUCCCAAGUUUCUCCUUUUACAAAUUGACCCUUAUGGAAAGUAGGCAGCAUUAAAGAUAUUAGGAUUGGCAGAUUGCUGAUAUGUUGGCCAGAGGAAUGCGGAGUGAAAAUCUCUGGAAUGUUCUAGCAACCUUUAAAAUUUAUUGCUAGGAAAUGGGUGCUGCUUGUCUUCUCUGCAUCUUUUCAAAAGAUCUCUUGUGAAUCCAGUCAACUCCUGUCCAGAAAUGGGAGGAUCCGGUAAAAUGGCCUCAAAUUCCCGCCUGGAGACAAUGGCUGGAGCCGUGGUGGCUUCAGCCCACUGUCUGGAAGGGCUUUACCCCUUCCCACCCGCUGCCUCUCCGUCCGCACAGGGCCUUCCACUCCUGGGGAAAGGGGGCAGAAGCAAUGAAGCUGUGUUGGUCGGGACAGUUGGCUGGUAUAGUGGUGCUCAGGGAAAUAUGAACUAUUUCUUUUACUUUCUCUUUCUAUCAAAAAUGGAGAGCAAAAGGUAAGACCAUGUUUUACAAAAAAUGAUCAUGAACACAUUACUUUGUGAUGGUAAUGAUGACCCUAAGUGGUUUAUAGUAAAGAAACCAAAUAUGUCUGAACUAGAAGAAUACAAGUCAGGAUUCCUUUCUGAAGACAAGCUUAUUGUUACCAAAGGGGAUAGCGGCAGGGCCAGGAGAAA